rnacentral:pre_miRNA from 1 species
GAGACACCCCUGUGGAGCAGGACUUGCUUCAGUGGGGCUUUGGUGCUCACUGAGUCUGCCCCUUGAAUGUGUCACU